AUGAACGCUAGCUACAGGCUUAACACAUGCAAGUCGAGGGGCAUCAGGAAGAAAGCUUGCUUUCUUUGCUGGCGACCGGCGCACGGGUGAGUAACACGUAUCCAACCUGCCCUUUACUCGGGGAUAGCCUUUCGAAAGAAAGAUUAAUACCCGAUGGCAUAAUGAUUCCGCAUGGUUUCAUUAUUAAAGGAUUCCGGUAAAGGAUGGGGAUGCGUUCCAUUAGGUUGUUGGUGAGGUAACGGCUCACCAAGCCUUCGAUGGAUAGGGGUUCUGAGAGGAAGGUCCCCCACAUUGGAACUGAGACACGGUCCAAACUCCUACGGGAGGCAGCAGUGAGGAAUAUUGGUCAAUGGGCGCUAGCCUGAACCAGCCAAGUAGCGUGAAGGAUGAAGGCUCUAUGGGUCGUAAACUUCUUUUAUAUAAGAAUAAAGUGCAGUAUGUAUACUGUUUUGUAUGUAUUAUAUGAAUAAGGAUCGGCUAACUCCGUGCCAGCAGCCGCGGUAAUACGGAGGAUCCGAGCGUUAUCCGGAUUUAUUGGGUUUAAAGGGAGCGUAGGUGGACUGGUAAGUCAGUUGUGAAAGUUUGCGGCUCAACCGUAAAAUUGCAGUUGAUACUGUCAGUCUUGAGUACAGUAGAGGUGGGCGGAAUUCGUGGUGUAGCGGUGAAAUGCUUAGAUAUCACGAAGAACUCCGAUUGCGAAGGCAGCUCACUGGACUGCAACUGACACUGAUGCUCGAAAGUGUGGGUAUCAAACAGGAUUAGAUACCCUGGUAGUCCACACAGUAAACGAUGAAUACUCGCUGUUUGCGAUAUACAGUAAGCGGCCAAGCGAAAGCAUUAAGUAUUCCACCUGGGGAGUACGCCGGCAACGGUGAAACUCAAAGGAAUUGACGGGGUCCCGCACAAGCGGAGGAACAUGUGGUUUAAUUCGAUGAUACGCGAGGAACCUUACCCGGGCUUAAAUUGCAGUGGAAUGAUGUGGAAACAUGUCAGUGAGCAAUCACCGCUGUGAAGGUGCUGCAUGGUUGUCGUCAGCUCGUGCCGUGAGGUGUCGGCUUAAGUGCCAUAACGAGCGCAACCCUUAUCUUUAGUUACUAACAGGUUAUGCUGAGGACUCUAGAGAGACUGCCGUCGUAAGAUGUGAGGAAGGUGGGGAUGACGUCAAAUCAGCACGGCCCUUACGUCCGGGGCUACACACGUGUUACAAUGGGGGGUACAGAAGGCAGCUAGCGGGUGACCGUAUGCUAAUCCCAAAAGCCUCUCUCAGUUCGGAUCGAAGUCUGCAACCCGACUUCGUGAAGCUGGAUUCGCUAGUAAUCGCGCAUCAGCCACGGCGCGGUGAAUACGUUCCCGGGCCUUGUACACACCGCCCGUCAAGCCAUGGGAGCCGGGGGUACCUGAAGUACGUAACCGCAAGGAUCGUCCUAGGGUAAAACUGGUGACUGGGGCU
rnacentral:rRNA from 1 species